UGGGGAAUAUUGCACAAUGGAGGGAACUCUGAUGCAGCGACGCCGCGUGAACGAAGAAGGCUUUCGAGUCGUAAAGUUCUUUUAUAUGGGAAGAUAAUGACGGUACCAUAAGAAAAAGCCCCGGCUAACUACGUGCCAGCAGCCGCGGUAAUACGUAGGGGGCUAGCGUUGUCCGGAAUCACUGGGCGUAAAGGGUUCGCAGGCGGAAAUGCAAGUCAGGUGUAAAAGGCAGUAGCUUAACUACUGUAAGCAUUUGAAACUGCAUAUCUUGAGAAGAGUAGAGGUAAGUGGAAUUUUUAGUGUAGCGGUGAAAUGCGUAGAUAUUAAAAAGAAUACCGGUGGCGAAGGCGACUUACUGGACUUUUACUGACGCUCAGGUACGAAAGCGUGGGGAGCAAACAGG
rnacentral:rRNA from 1 species